rnacentral:rRNA from 1 species
GACGAACGCUGGCGGCGUGCUUAACACAUGCAAGUCGAACGGAAAGGCCCUGCUUUUGUGGGGUGCUCGAGUGGCGAACGGGUGAGUAACACGUGAGUAACCUGCCCUUGACUUUGGGAUAACUUCAGGAAACUGGGGCUAAUACCGGAUAGGAGCUCCUGCUGCAUGGUGGGGGUUGGAAAGUUUCGGCGGUUGGGGAUGGACUCGCGGCUUAUCAGCUUGUUGGUGGGGUAGUGGCUUACCAAGGCUUUGACGGGUAGCCGGCCUGAGAGGGUGAACGGCCACAUUGGGACUGAGAUACGGCCCAGACUCCUACGGGAGGCAGCAGUGGGGAAUAUUGCACAAUGGGAGGAAGCCUGAUGCAGAAACGCCGCGUGCGGGAUGACGGCCUUCGGGUUGUAAACCGCUUUCGCCUGUGACGAAGCGUGAGUGACGGUAAUGGGUAAAGAAGCACCGGCUAACUACGUG